CUUGCCAUAUCAAUAAACGGAGGAAAAGAAACCAACAGGGAUUGCCUUAGUAACGGCGAGUGAAGCGGCAAAAGCUCAAAUUUGAAAUCGGCCCCCAGGUCGAGUUGUAAUUUGUAGAUUGUAUCUUGAGAGCGGAUUAAAGUCUGUUGGAACACAGCGCCUUAGAGGGUGACAGCCCCGUAAAAUCUAUUCUCAUGAAGAUUUG
rnacentral:rRNA from 1 species